UACGAAGGGGGCUAGCGUUGUUCGGAUUUACUGGGCGUAAAGCGCACGUAGGCGGAUCGUUAAGUCGGGGGUGAAAUCCUGGAGCUCAACUCCAGAACUGCCUUCGAUACUGGCGAUCUUGAGUCCGGAGAGGUGAGUGGAAUUCCUAGUGUAGAGGUGGAAUUCGUAGAUAUUAGGAAGAACACCAGUGGCGAAGGCGGCUCACUGGUCCGGUACUGACGCUGAGGUGCGAAAGCGUGGGAGCAAACAGG
rnacentral:rRNA from 1 species